rnacentral:misc_RNA from 1 species
GAUGAAGAACGUAGUGAAAUGCGAAAAGUAAUGUGAAUUGCAGAAUUCAGUGAAUCAUCGAAUCUUUGAACGCACAUUGCGCCCGCCAGUAUUCUGGCGGGCAUGCCUGUUCGAGCGUCAUUACAACCCUCAGGCCCCCGGGCCUGGCGUUGGGGAUCGGCGGAGCCCCCCGUGGGCACACGCCGUCCCCCAAAUGCAGUGGCGGUCCCGCCGCAGCUUCCAUCGCGUAGUAGCUAACACCUCGCGACUGGAGAGCGGCGCGGCCACGCCGUAAAACACCCAACUCUUCUGAAGUUGACCUCGAAUCAGGUAGGAAUACCCGCUGAACUUAAGCAUAUCAAUAAGCGGAGGA